CCCUUAGAUGUUCUGGGCCGCACGCGUGCUACACUGAGUGGAUCAGCGGGUCAGGUUGCGCGAAAGUGUUUCCUAAUCUUGAAAUCCGCUCGUGAUGGGGAUUGACGGUUGCAAUUUUCCGUCAUGAACGAGGAAUACCUUGUAAGCGCGGGUCAUCAUCCCGCGCUGAAUACGUCCCUGCCCUUUGUACACACCGUCCGUCGCUCCUACCGAUUGAGUGGUCCGGUGAGGCUUUGGGAUCUGAGCGGAAAGAGCGUUUCGCUGUUUCUGCUCGGAAAACUCAGUCGAACCUUAUCAUUUAGAGGAAGGAGAAGUCGUAACA
rnacentral:rRNA from 1 species